rnacentral:rRNA from 1 species
CGGCGGACGGGUGAGUAACGCGUGGGUAACCUGCCUCAUACAGGGGGAUAACAGUUGGAAACGGCUGCUAAUACCGCAUAAGCGCACAGUACCGCAUGGUACCGUGUGAAAAACUCCGGUGGUAUGAGAUGGACCCGCGUCUGAUUAGCUAGUUGGUGGAGUAACGGCCUACCAAGGCGACGAUCAGUAGCCGACCUGAGAGGGUGACCGGCCACAUUGGGACUGAGACACGGCCCAA